rnacentral:rRNA from 1 species
CCUACGGGUGGCAGCAGUGGGGAAUAUUGGACAAUGGGGGCAACCCUGAUCCAGCCAUGCCGCGUGUGUGAAGAAGGCCCUCGGGUUGUAAAGCACUUUCAGUGAGGAAGAACGCCUGGUGGUUAAUACCCAUCAGGAAAGACAUCACUCACAGAAGAAGCACCGGCUAACUCCGUGCCAGCAGCCGCGGUAAUACGGAGGGUGCGAGCGUUAAUCGGAAUUACUGGGCGUAAAGCGCGCGUAGGUGGCUUGAUAAGCCGGUUGUGAAAGCCCCGGGCUCAACCUGGGAACGGCAUCCGGAACUGUCAAGCUAGAGUGCAGGAGAGGAAGGUAGAAUUCCCGGUGUAGCGGUGAAAUGCGUAGAGAUCGGGAGGAAUACCAGUGGCGAAGGCGGCCUUCUGGACUGACACUGACACUGAGGUGCGAAAGCGUGGGUAGCAAACAGGAUUAGAUACCCAGGUAGUC